rnacentral:rRNA from 1 species
AUUGAACGCUAGCGGCAUGCUUAACACAUGCAAGUCGAACGGCAGCGCGAGGAGCUUGCUCCUUGGCGGCGAGUGGCGGACGGGUGAGUAACGCGUAGGAAUCUACCUCUAAAUGGGGGAUAACUCGAGGAAACUCGAGCUAAUACCGCAUAAUCUUUUCGAAGCAAAGCGGGGGACCUUCGGGGCCUCGUGUUUAGAGAUGAGCCUGCGUCAGAUUAGCUUGUUGGUGGGGUAAAGGCCUACCAAGGCGACGAUCUGUAGCUGGUCUGAGAGGACGAUCAGCCACACUGGGACUGAGACACGGCCCAGACUCCUACGGGAGGCAGCAGUGGGGAAUAUUGGACAAUGGGGGCAACCCUGAUCCAGCAAUGCCGCGUGUGUGAAGAAGGCCUUCGGGUUGUAAAGCACUUUCAGUAGGGAAGAAAGUCUCAAGAUUAAUAAUCUUGAGAUUUGACGUUACCUACAGAAGAAGCACUGGCUAACUCUGUG